GGUGAAGAUGAAAAUGAGGGCCUUGAUGACGAUUCAGUUGAGACCCUCUGCUUCUCCUUCACUGGUUUCCUCUUACUCUUCUCCUGCAAUUCCACAUAAUUUGGUGGAGAGUUGCAGAAUAUUGCGUUUCAUGGAUUAUUGUCCCCAAUUAGUGGUUGGUUUUAAAAAGGAGUACCUGGAGCUGGAGGCAGGGCCUUGUGGUCAUGACCGGAAACUUGUCUUGCCGUCGGGUAAUGUUGCCGGUAGAACACAUGGAAUAUUCUGUUCAUGCACCCAAUCUGUUUGUGCAGAUUAGGGUUUUCAUCAGACAGGUGGAAAACAGGAGCAGAGAUGAGUGAAUCUUCUUCACAGAAAAGAGAAAGAGCUCAAAAAAUCCCAAAAAAAACAUUCAACAGAGUUAUGUUUCUUGUAGAAUUAUGACCAGACAGAGAGAGAUUAAGCUCUGCGUUGUGUCUCUUGGUUUCUCUUUGGAAAGGAAAGGCAAGGCAAGGCUACAACUAUCAUGGAGGCCUUGAAAGCAUAUUUAUACAGAAUCCAUGUGGACAAAAUAAUGUGGGGUGGGUCUCUCUACAUGUGCAUGUGGAGUUUGUCAGGAACGCAGAAAAAAAAAGGAGAAACUAAUAAUUAUGAAAUAUCAUAACCAUAAAUAAAUAAUUAAAAAUAUUAUUCAUAACUUAAAAUUAUAUGAAGACUGUGGAUUGGUGAACUGGAACAUAAGCUUUGCAUGGUCUCGGAUUGGUGGGCCUUAUUACAAGGAAUUUGUUUUAAAAAAAAUGGACAUACUAAAUAUUUAAAUUAGUGAAAAGGAGAUACUUUAUUAUUUUACAAGGUUUUUUCCCUGAAGAUAUAAUAAUUACCGACCACCGGGAAAAAAAAGACAGAAUAAUGCAUAAUUAUUACUAAAUUUGAAAUUACAGACAGUCGUUUUAAAGUUGGUAGAUAAGUGUCUUGUCUGUCUGCGUUACAGUAGAACGAAUGUGGGUUUCGUGGGCAAUGUAGUCUUGAAGAGUUUUUUUUUUUUUUUAUAAUCGGGGAAUUUAUCGAAUCCACGUUUUUUCAGAGGAUCGGAUAAAUUCAUGUGAAUGCCUUCACCAAAUAAAAAUUCGAAUCCGGAUUAGGAAGUAGCUCUACUUCAUUCUUCACCGGAUAAGUCACCCAUUUUUUUUUUGGUUUUAACCUAAUUUUGGGUAAAUAUAGAGUUAUUGAUAUUUUUUUCAUGGGUUUUAUCAAAUAUAUUUCUCAAGUAAUUUAUUGUUUAUUUGGGAAUUUUAUAUUUAUUAUGAGUUAGAUAUUAAAAUUUCAAUAAAAAGAGGCAGCAAAACAAGUGGUCAGUUUUCUAACUAAAUUAGAUGUUGUAUGAUAAAGUCCUUGAGAUGUACUGAUCAUAAAAGUUUUCGUGUGCAUAAUCACGUGCCUUGUUCGACUAUGCGCUGUGAACAAGGUGGAGCCGUUAGGAUUUAAUUAAUUGAUUAUUUCUUUUGUUUGAUUUGGCUAAUUAAGUGAGCAAAUUAAUGUUAACUGAUUUGGUUGGGCUACGAAAGUACCGAGGAAUAUACCACACAUGGGGGGAUA